rnacentral:rRNA from 1 species
GACGAACGCUGGCGGCGUGCUUAACACAUGCAAGUCGAACGGAAAGGCCUGCUUUCCCUUGUGGAUUGCGGGUACUCGAGUGGCGAACGGGUGAGUAACACGUGAGUGAUCUGCCCCCAACUUGGGUAUAAGCCUGGGAAACUGGGUCUAAUUCCCGAUAGGACUGCAGGGUGGUGCCUGUGGUGGAAAACGAUUUUCUAGUGGUUGGGGAUGAGCUCGCGGCCUAUCAGCUUGUUGGUGGGGUAAUGGCCUACCAAGGCGGCGACGGGUAGCCGGCCUGAGAGGGUGGACGGCCACAUUGGGACUGAGAUACGGCCCAGACUCAUACGGGAGGCAGCAGUGGGGAAUAUUGCCCAAUGGGCGGAAGCCUGAUGCAGCGACGCCGCGUGGGGGAUGACGGCCUUCGGGUUGUAAACUCCUUUCGACCGCGAGGAAGCCACCUGGUUGGAAGGGUGGUGACGGUAGUGGUAGAAGAAGCACCGGCUAACUACGUG